UAGGGAAUCUUCCGCAAUGGACGCAAGUCUGACGGAGCAACGCCGCGUGAGUGAUGAAGGUUUUCGGAUCGUAAAGCUCUGUUGCCCUAGACGAACAGCAAGGAGAGUAACUGCUCUUUGUGUGACGGUAUAGGAGAAGAAAGCCCCGGCUAACUACGUGCCAGCAGCCGCGGUAAUACGUAGGGGGCAAGCGUUGUCCGGAAUUAUUGGGCGUAAAGCGCGCGCAGGCGGUCAAUUAAGUUGGGUGUUUAAGCCCGGG
rnacentral:rRNA from 1 species